rnacentral:rRNA from 1 species
AGAGUUUGAUCCUGGCUCAGGAUGAACGCUAGCUACAGGCUUAACACAUGCAAGUCGAGGGGCAGCAUGACCUAGCAAUAGGUUGAUGGCGACCGGCGCACGGGUGAGUAACACGUAUCCAACCUGCCGAUUAUUCCGGGAUAGCCUUUCGAAAGAAAGAUUAAUACUGGAUAGCAUAACGAGAAGGCAUCUUCUUGUUAUUAAAGAAUUUCGAUAAUCGAUGGGGAUGCGUUCCAUUAGUUUGUUGGCGGGGUAACGGCCCACCAAGACAUCGAUGGAUAGGGGUUCUGAGAGGAAGGUCCCCCACAUUGGAACUGAGACACGGUCCAAACUCCUACGGGAGGCAGCAGUGAGGAAUAUUGGUCAAUGGACGAGAGUCUGAACCAGCCAAGUAGCGUGAAGGAUGACUGCCCUAUGGGUUGUAAACUUCUUUUAUAUGGGAAUAAAGUGAGCCACGUGUGGCUUUUUGUAUGUACCAUACGAAUAAGGAUCGGCUAACUCCGUGCCAGCAGCCGCGGUAAUACGGAGGAUCCGAGCGUUAUCCGGAUUUAUUGGGUUUAAAGGGAGCGUAGGCGGAUUAUUAAGUCAGUUGUGAAAGUUUGCGGCUCAACCGUAAAAUUGCAGUUGAUACUGGUAGUCUUGAGUGCAGCAGAGGUAGGCGGAAUUCGUGGUGUAGCGGUGAAAUGCUUAGAUAUCACGAAGAACUCCGAUUGCGAAGGCAGCUUACUGGACUGUAACUGACGCUGAUGCUCGAAAGUGUGGGUAUCAAACAGGAUUAGAUACCCUGGUAGUCCACACAGUAAACGAUGAAUACUCGCUGUUUGCGAUAUACAGUAAGCGGCCAAGCGAAAGCGUUAAGUAUUCCACCUGGGGAGUACGCCGGCAACGGUGAAACUCAAAGGAAUUGACGGGGGCCCG